AGAUACACCAGUUCCCGUUCGAUCACCGAAGUUAAGCAAGUCGAGCCUAGUCAGUACCUAGAUGAGUGAUCGCUUCAGAAUAC